AUUGAUUCCUUUAGGAAUAUUUAAUAUUAUUGAGUCAUUUUUGAAUAGAUACGAGUGGUUUGGAGGUGAUCUGUAUAUUGAUAUGUUAGUUGAAUAGACUUUCAUCUUUUUGAAAAUAUUUAGGGCCAUUUUGUAGGAAGACCGUAAUAGAUUCAACUGCACCAGUUUAGGAGAAAGCUCUUGAUGCUUUCAUUUUAUUCACACGAGCUACCUUCUACUUUCGCCAAUUCUGAUGAUUUACACACGUGCUAAUACUUAUUUUACUUUUGCAUUAUCUAGAUCAACUUGUCGUCUCGAAUAUAAAGACAAAAAUAUUCUGCUUUCUAAGAGCACAAAAACUAUUAGGGACUUAAUCCAGCUUGUAGAAUUGCAGCAGCAAGAAGAAUUACAUAUUGAUUUAGAUACUUGCACAAUAUACUUUUGAUUUGUUUAAUUUCAAUUUUACUUUUGAUGCAACUUAAAAGUUAAUCAGUUGUGUUCUUAGUUUUGCAACAUUUUGAAUCACAUUGUAUGAUAUUUGUUCAUAUUUGUUUCGCGGUCAGUGAAGAGAAUUUCUUUACGUUAAAUCAAAAACUAAUAAGGUCUUGGGCCCGGGCUCAGUCCAGGCUAUCUCCAACUAGUCUAUUAUAUCGAAGAGAGAAGAGGAGGUCGACCAAGGGCAUAAUGGUCAUUUUAAAUAUAUUAGUACAUUGUUUGCUUGUAUAGAAGAGAGAAGAGGAGGUCGACCAAGGGCAUAAUGGUCAUUUUAAAUAUAUUAGUACAUUGUUUGCUUGUAUAGAAGAGAGAAGAGGAGGUCGACCAAGGGCAUAAUGGUCAUUUUAAAUAUAUUAGUGCAUUGUUUGCUUGUAUACUAGGCUCAAAAAGCGUAGACCCUAUGUAGAAAUAAUUUAAAAUUGUACUUGAAUUAUUAUCUAAUUAUUGUAUGAUAAAGUAUCAAACUUCGACAAGUAUUACAAAGUGAUUGGUAUCGUAAUACGAUUUCAGAAAAAUUAAAAUGCACAUAAUGCAAAAGAUAAAUAACAAUAAGGUAAUCGUGGUUCUACACAUUAUUACACAAAAGCCUAUUCUCUUUCUUCUUUCCCUAAAGGCGUAGAAAGUGUGUAAUUAG